AUACGACCACAAUUAUGUUCUCGACUGUGGAGAUGAAAAAUUGGGUCUGAAACAUGUUGCAAAAGUGAAGGAACCAUCAAGCGGUCGGGUCCUUAACUUGUGGACCAAUGCCCCUGGGGUGCAGUUUUACACAGGUAACUAUGUCAAUGGUGUUGUUGGCAAAGGAGGGGCUGUUUACGGUAAGCAUGCAGGUCUUUGUUUGGAGACACAAGGAUUUCCCAACGCAGUGAACCAACCCAACUUCCCAUCUGUUGUUGUUAAACCGGGUGAAAAGUAUCAGCACACUAUGCUUUUUGAGUUUUCAGUUGAAUAGAGUGCUUGAGUUUCUAAGAAUAAUUGUGACAAUAAGGUUCAUUUCCAAUUUAUGUUGCAAAACAUAGUUCUGUUUUUG
rnacentral:misc_RNA from 1 species